rnacentral:rRNA from 1 species
AUUGAACGCUGGCGGCAUGCCUUACACAUGCAAGUCGAACGGUAACAGGUCUUCGGAUGCUGACGAGUGGCGAACGGGUGAGUAAUACAUCGGAACGUGCCUAGUAGUGGGGGAUAACUACUCGAAAGAGUGGCUAAUACCGCAUGAGAUCUACGGAUGAAAGCAGGGGAUCGCAAGACCUUGUGCUACUAGAGCGGCCGAUGGCAGAUUAGGUAGUUGGUGGGAUAAAAGCUUACCAAGCCGACGAUCUGUAGCUGGUCUGAGAGGACGAUCAGCCACACUGGGACAGAGACACGACCCAGACUCCUACGGGAGGCAGCAGUGGGGAAUUUUGGACAAUGGGCGCAAGCCUGAUCCAGCAAUGCCGCGUGCAGGAUGAAGGCCUUCGGGUUGUAAACUGCUUUUGUACGGAACGAAAAGCCCUGGGUUAAUACCCUGGGGUGAUGACGGUACCGUAAGAAUAAGCACCGGCUAACUACGUGCCAGCCGCCGCGGUAAUAC